rnacentral:lncRNA from 1 species
GUUGGAAGAGGCAUGGCGUGCUUCCAUGGAGAUUUAAGACAUGUGUAAUGGUCAUCUCUUUCUCGAGCUUGCCCCUGUCAUCAACGGUCUCGAGCAGAGUGGUCCUGAGCAGAGGAGUCGCCUCGUCCCUUCGGUCUCGAGCUUGCCCCUGUCAUCACCGGUAUCGAACUCGUCCCGGUCGUCAUCAAUGGUGCCGGAGAUGAGACAGAAUGGAGGAAGACAUCGAGAAGAAAGAGGCAAAGGAGGAGGGAGGCGGCACAGAGAGAUUAGGUUUAGAGUUAAUUAGGGUCUGGUUAGUUAGGUUUAGAUUUUGGUUAAUUAGUUUUUGGUUUAGUGUGUUUU